UGAACGCUGGCGGCGUGCUUAACACAUGCAAGUCGAACGAAGCAUUUAGGACAGAUUACUUCGGUUUGAAGUUCUUUAUGACUGAGUGGCGGACGGGUGAGUAACGCGUGGGUAACCUGCCUUGUACUGGGGGAUAGCAGCUGGAAACGGCUGGUAAUACCGCAUAAGCGCACAAUGUUGCAUGACAUGGUGUGAAAAACUCCGGUGGUAUAAGAUGGCCCCGCGUCUGAUUAGCUAGUCGGUGAGAUAACAGCCCACCAAGGCGACGAUCAGUAGCCGACCUGAGAGGGUGACCGGCCACAUUGGGACUGAGACACGGCCCAGACUCCUACGGGAGGCAGCAGUGGGGAAUAUUGCACAAUGGAGGAAACUCUGAUGCAGCGACGCCGCGUGAGUGAAGAAGUAAUUCGUUAUGUAAAGCUCUAUCAGCAGGGAAGAUAGUGACGGUACCUGACUAAGAAGCUCCGGCUAAAUACGUG
rnacentral:rRNA from 1 species